GACGUAGGGCGCGAGCGUUGUCCGGAUUUAUUGGGCGUAAAGAGCUCGUAGGCGGUCUGUCGCGUCGGCUGUGAAAACCCGAGGCUCAACCUCGGGCCUGCAGUCGAUACGGGCAAACUAGAGUACUGCAGGGGAGACUGGAAUUCCUGGUGUAGCGGUGAAAUGCGCAGAUAUCAGGAGGAACACCGAUGGCGAAGGCAGCUCGCUGGGACGGUACUGACGCUGAGACGCGAAAGCGUGGGGAGCAAACAGG
rnacentral:rRNA from 1 species